rnacentral:lncRNA from 1 species
AGGGAGGGAGGGAGAGAGAGAGAGAGAGAGAGAGAGAGAGAGAGAGAGAGAGAGAGAGAGAGAGAGAAAGAAUCUAACUUGUAUUUUUUGUGUGUAGAUGUAAAUAGUGUUUGAAUGUAGUAUGUUUGAGCGUGCACAUGCGAGUAUACAUAUAUGUAUACAUGUGUGUCCAUUUCUGUAUACUUGUGUUUUCAUUUUUAAAACCUCAAUAAAAAUUAUUUUAUAAAUCAUCUCAAAUACAAAUUUUUGAAAGAAGACUAUGAAAACUAAAGUUAAAUCUUAACACAUUAAUUAAUUGUGAUUGCAUGCAGGAGUAGAAGAAUAAUUUUUCAAAGUAAGUUUUCUUAUAAUUAUGUCAUGUUUUACUUAUUCCCCUGGAUCUGCAAGUUUUCCUAAGAAUUCUGAUUAAUAAGCCUCACAGAUGACUUUUGAACAGUUUUAGGCUCAAUUAUAAGAAUAGAUCAUCCACCCAGUUUAAAAUUUGCCUAUUUAGAACAGACAAUAAAAUAAUAUAUAUACUUAUUACAUUCACUUAGAAAUCUUUUUCUGGAAACAAUGUACAUAUCUACAUUGAAAUAAAUGGAAAGAUUAAUCGCUCACAAUUUUCCCUUCAAGUAUAUAAAUAGAACUUGAUUUCCUGCUUGCAGAGAAGGUGAGUGUCAAAAUGAGAGCUGCACAGAAGGCUGAGAGUGAUGAGGAGCUUCUGUCAGCCCUUGUCAGAACGAAAAACCUCUCUUGGCUCUUUCAAAGUUCUGCAUAUCUGAGAGUCCUGGUUGCAGACAACAGUAACCACUGAACAUACUGUCCGGGGCGGGGAUUAGUUUAUCAAGAAAUAUAACUGUUCAACUGACAGAAAACUGAAUUAAGCUGACCUUGAAAUAUGGUCUUCCCAAACUAUCAGGUAUGACUGUAUCAUGGUGGGUGCUGAACAGCAAGCUAUUCAAAUGAGUGUUACACUACCUCUGACACACACUACAACAGCUAGAUGGCAGGCCACCCUAUAUUUUUACCAUGCCCCCAAGCUCAAAUCAAUGGUGGAAUUCUCAUCUGAUUGGUAUAAAAGAAGCCACAAAUGUAGGGGCAUCUCAAAAAAUACAGCUUUUUCUCUAUAACCUCUGCUCCAAGAAAGACAUGCCAGUUAUAUAUUCCCCCAAAAAUAGUAAAGAUGAGGAAAUAUUUCUAGUUUUGGAAGUAGAUAUAGAGUUUCUACAGAAAAUACAGUAAAAUUCCAAUGCCAGGUCACAGUUACAUACUUUAAAAUUCAUCAAAAAUUUGUUAUCUAUUUUAAGUUUAAAAUGUUAGAAAAUUAGUACAUAUAUGAGCCUAAAAUAGGGUUUCUUUCCUUGAUUUAACUUUCCUAAAGUUUAUAGUAAUAAUGUGUAUAUUUUAUAAAAUGUUACUACUUUUAAAAUAAUAUACUACGAUAACUUGAAAGUUAAAAUCAUUAUAGUGUGCUUACAAGUAAUAUGGACUGAAUUUAACAAAUUAAUAACGUAAGUAGCUUAAGAAGUUAAAUUUUAUUGAUUAUUUAAGUAGUCAACCAUCUCUUAUGUGGAAAGGGAAAGGUACUAGUCAUGGCCAAUUAUCAGGAUGCUAGUAAUAAAACGGUUACUUGACAGGUUUUUUAUGUAGCAACCAACUUAGAGCACUAUGUGAAAAGGGAAGAAAGAAAGGAUUUUGAAUUUACUCUCUAUCUCUAUCUCUCUUUGUGUCUCUGUAUGUAUAUGUCUGCGUGUACCUAGUGUGUACCAUUCUCCUUUCCUCCUUCUUAUCCUUUACUUCCCCAUCUUCCUGCUUUUCUUCAUUAAUCUAAUUAUAUUACAAGUGUUAUUGUUAUUAUUCAUCUGAGCAGAAUGUACAAGUCACACUUUUUUAAUAUUUUCUAUUAAGUAUUUUCCUCAUUUACAUUUUCAAUGCUAUCCCAAAAGUCGCCCAUACCCUCCCCCCCACUCCCCUACCCACCCACUCCCCCUUUUUGGCCCUGGCGUUGCCCUGUACUGGGGCAUAUAAAGUUUGCAAGUCCAAUGGGCCUCUCUUUCCAGUGAUGGCCGACUAGGCCAUCUUUUGAUACAUAUGCAGCUAGAGUCAAGAGCUCCGGGGUACUGGUUAGUUCAUAAUGUUGUUGCACCUACAGGGUUGCAGAUGUCUUUAGCUCCUUGGGUACUUUCUCUAGCUCCUCCAUUGGGGGCCCUGUAAGCAGAAAAGGAACUAGCCAAUGGCUAACAGCUGGAGCUGUGUUUCAAGAAUUUGUAGGACUGAAGUCACCAACUUUGUAUUGUCUUCAAGUGUACUGUUGCCUUUCCUGAAGGAGACAGCUUAGGGCAGAAGACAUGUUGGGUAAUAAGAACUUGAGAAGACUAGGAAGCAGAAGGAAUGAUGGAGAAUGACUAUAACAUUCUCUUGUAGGAAGGGGUGAGUAUGAAAGUGUACAUCUGUUUUCUGUUUUCCUUCUGAGAGGAGGGGAAAAAUUGCAGUCUGGGAAUGUCUGAACUAUGAAGUGCAAAGAGAGACUGGAACUGAUGGAAUGGAGAGUUUGGGUGAAGCCAUGAAAAGCUCCUGUGUGGCAAAGAGAGCAAUAUUUGCUCUGUCUCCAAGGGAUAAGGAAAUAAAAACAGAGGUAAGACUCAAAUGUCAGCCUUUGAUAAAGCUGAGACAUUGAAUACUAAGUACCAAAGUUUUUCUCAUUAUUAUACCAUGUUGUAGGAAAGUGCAUAAAUCAAAUGGAGUACACACCACUUUGC